rnacentral:rRNA from 1 species
UGGGAACGUACCUUUUGGUUCGGAACAACCCAGGGAAACUUGGGCUAAUACCGGAUAAGUCCGUAAGGAGAAAGAUUUAUCGCCAAAAGAUCGGCCCGCGUCUGAUUAGCUAGUUGGUGAGGUAACGGCUCACCAAGGCGACGAUCAGUAGCUGGUCUGAGAGGAUGAUCAGCCACACUGGGACUGAGACACGGCCCAGACUCCUACGGGAGGCAG